rnacentral:rRNA from 1 species
GCAGUCGUACAGGUAGCCUGUAGCUUGCUCUCGGGUGACGAGUGGCGGACGGGUGAGUAAUGUCUGGGAAACUGCCUGAUGGAGGGGGAUAACUACUGGAAACGGUAGCUAAUACCGCAUAACGUCGCAAGACCAAAGAGGGGGACCUUCGGGCCUCUUGCCAUCAGAUGUGCCCAGAUGGGAUUAGCUAGUAGGUGGGGUAACGGCUCACCUAGGCGACGAUCCCUAGCUGGUCUGAGAGGAUGACCAGCCACACUGGAACUGAGACACGGUCCAGACUCCUACGGGAGGCAGCAGUGGGGAAUAUUGCACAAUGGGCGCAAGCCUGAUGCAGCCAUGCCGCGUGUAUGAAGAAGGCCUUCGGGUUGUAAAGUACUUUCAGCGGGGAGGAAGGCGACACGGUUAAUAACCGUGUUGAUUGACGUUACCCGCAGAAGAAGCACCGGCUAACUCCGUGCCAGCAGCCGCGGUAAUACGGAGGGUGCAAGCGUUAAUCGGAAUUACUGGGCGUAAAGCGCACGCAGGCGGUCUGUCAAGUCGGAUGUGAAAUCCCCGGGCUCAACCUGGGAACUGCAUCCGAAACUGGCAGGCUUGAGUCUCGUAGAGGGAGGUAGAAUUCCAGGUGUAGCGGUGAAAUGCGUAGAGAUCUGGAGGAAUACCGGUGGCGAAGGCGGCCUCCUGGACGAAGACUGACGCUCAGGUGCGAAAGCGUGGGUGAGCAAACAGGAUUAGAUACCCUGGUAGUCCACGCCGUAAACGAUGUCUAUUUGGAGGUUGUGCCCUUGAGGCGUGCCUUCCGGAGCUAACGCGUUAAAUAGACCGUCUGGGGAGUACGGCCGCGAGGGUUACAACUCAUAUGUAUUCGACGGGGGCCCGCACCACGCGGUGGAGCAUGUGCUUAAAUUCGAUGCAUACGCGAAGAUCCUCAUCUGAUCAUCGACAUCUACAGACUGCAGGAGAUGCCU